CUGACAGAUCUGACCAGGAGCUGUCUGCCCGCCCAGGUGAAGUGGACCGAGGAGACAGAGAAAACCUUCCAGGACCUGGAGGAGAGCCCAGUGUUCUUCCCCACAGCCGUGAUGCUUCAGGCCCCUUUAUGGACGUGUGAGUGGGGGCCAGAGGAGUCAGACAAGGAGAUAACAGAGAUGACCCUAUCAAGCAUCCCUGUUGACAUGGUCUCAAAGGCCACACAAACCAAAACAGGAUGUCAUCUAAGCCCAUCCCAAUUUCAAGGCAGCUCUUCAACCAGCAGCUGAACCUGUCUCAGAGGGAGGCAGUGAAGCAUAUCCUGGCAGGGGAGUGCCGGCCCAUCCAGUACAUCCUGUUUGGAUCCCCAGGGACAGGAAAGAUGAUCCCCCUCAUGGAGGCCAUACUGCAGUGUUGCUGACCUCAUCUGUAUCCAGCUCCAUGACAGUGGGUUCCUGCACGCUUACGAGCCUGGCCCGCGUCAACACCUCCUGUUGAUAGGAAGAGGUACUGCACCCACCGCCACCGCCUCGAUCCUAUUUUCUCUACCAGUUUAUGCCUCUGUCUGUAUCUCCUGUAGGCCAUCCCUGAGAUUAUAAGGCAGUACUCUUGGGCUGGGAAGGACAUCCGACAUGCUUCCUUCGACAGGUUCGUGGUCAGCACCUGUACCAGCGCUGGCAUGUUCUACCAGGUUGGGCCAAGAAGAUAACAAGGCCCUUAUGUUAAAGGUCCAAUGCAGCCAUUUUUACCUCAAUAUCAAAUCAUUUCUGGGUAAAAAUGAAAGUACCUUACUGUGAUUGUUUUCAAUUAAAAUGGUCAAAAAGAAACAAAAAUAGCUUCUUAGAGAAGAGCAAUUUCUCAAGCAAGAAUUUUGCUAGGACUGUCGGGGAGCUGUCUGAGUGUGGAGAAAAUGGAAAACUAGCUGUUAUUGGAAAAGGUUUGGUCUAUUGGUCUAUUAAGAAAACUCCUUCCCAUCAAAACAGGCUGAAAUUUCAGGCCAUCUUUUCAAACAGUUCUUACAGUAAAAGUGCAGUAUCAUAAUUUUCAUGCAUUGGAAGAACUACUCUGAAGAUGAUCACAAUACAACGUGUAUUAAAAUAAUGAAAGCUUUUGUUUUUCCCUCAGUGUGGCAUUGGUCCCCCUAGGGCUUCUGUCAGAGAGAGACGGACAGGUUAGACUAAACAGAGUACACUACAACCACAAAAACACCUGGAACACCCUUACUAAAGUGGUGCAACCGUUGAAAAAACAUUGCACAUCACAAAACUGACAGAAGUAAUAACAGUCACUGUAUUUUGUGGCCUCUUGAUCAAAAAGUUAAUCAUAUGUUCUGUUGCUACCCCCACCUUUCACAUAGUUCUGUCUGGAGACCCCAGGCAGAUGGGUCCAAUUGUGAAGACCAAGCUGGCGCAGGCAUUGGGCCAUGGGGUGUCCAUGCUGGAGAGACUGAUGGCCAACCCCCUGUACACAAGAGAGAGUGGGGGAUACAAAGCACACCGCACACACACACACACACACACACACACACACACACACACACACACACACACACACACACACACACACACACACACACACACACACACACACACACACACACACACACACACACACACACACACACACACACACACACACACACACACACACACACACACACACACUCCCUGUCAGUGCCAUGGUCAUCUAAAUCAUGCACAGUGAGUCACCAACUGAAUCCAGAUGAUGCAUCUUUAUCAACAUAAUGUUUUGACUUGCAUUGUAAUAUAAUAUAUGAUAAUAUAUGCCAUUUAAUAACAGACACUUUUAUUCAAAGUGACGUAUGGGUGGCCCCAGCGGAAAUCGAGCCCACAACGCUAGGCUUUGCAAGCACCAUAUUCUACCGACUGAGCCACACAGGAUCACAUUGUAAAUAAAUGGCUCCAAAGAUUAUUGCAUUCUCAUGGUGUCCUCUCUUCUCCCUCCAGGUGCCCAAGCUGGUGUAUAACUACCGUUCCCAGGAGGCCUUCCUGGCCCUGCCCUUUAGACUGUUUUACAGUGGGGAGCUGUGUGUCAGGGCCCAGAGGGCCGUCUGCCCAUCAAGGGAUUCCAUGGAGUCAGGAUGAGGGCUCUAUCUGUUUCUCUCGCUAUGUUUCUUUCUGUCUUUCUCUGUCCAAAAUAGACUCAAGUCAAUGGGAUCUUUCUCAAAAGUCUUUCCUUGAAUCCUUGUGGGAUUCCGCUGGGAUUCUCUGCCUCUGACCCUAUUACGGGGGCUGAGUCACUGGUUUACUGGUGCUCAUCCAUGCUGUCCCUAGGAGGGGUGCGUCACUUGAGUGGGUUGAGUCUCUGACGUGAUCUCCCUGUCCGGGUUGGCGCCCCCCUCGGGUUCGUGCCAUGUGGGAGAUUUUCGUGGGCUAUACUCGGCUUUGUCCCAGGGUAGUAAGUUGGUGGUUGAAGAUAUCCCUCUAGUGGUGUGUGGACUGUGCUUUGGCAAAGUGGGUGGGCUUAUAUCCUGCCUGGUUGGCCCUGCCCGGAGGUAUAGUCGGACGGGGCCACAGUGUCUCCCGACCCCUCCUGUCUCAGCCUCCAGUAAUUAUGCUGCAAUAGUUUAUGUGUCGAGGGACUAGGGUCAGUCUGUUAUAUCUGGAGUAUUUCUCCUGUCUUAUCCAGUGUCCUGUGUGAAUUUAAGUAUGCUCCCUAUAAUUCUCUCUCUCUCUUUCUCGUUCUUUCUCUUUCUUUCUCUUUCUCUUCUCUCGGGGGACCUGAGCCCUAGGACCAUGCCUCAGGACUACCUGGCUUGUUGACUCCUUGCUGUCCCCAGUCCACCUGGUCGUGCUGCUGCUCCAGUUUCAACUGUUUUGCCUGCGGCUAUGGAACCCUGACCUGUUCACCGGACGUUCUACCUUGUCCCGGACCUGCUGUUUUCGACUCACUCUCUCUACCACACCUGCUGUCUCUAACUGAAUGAUCGGCUAUGAAAAGCCAACUGACAUUUACUCCUGAGGUGCUGACCUGUUGCACCCUCUACAACCACUGUGAUUAUUAUUAUUUGAUCUAUGAAGGUUUGAACAUCUUGGCCAUGUACUGUUAUAAUCUCCACCCGGCAGAGCCAGAAGAGGACCGGCCACCCCUCAGAGCCUGGUUCCUCUCUAGGUUUCUUCCUAGGUUCCCUCCUUUCUAGGGAGUUUUUCUUAGCCACCGUGCUUCUACAUCUGCAUUGCUUGCUGUUUGGGGUUGUGAAAAGGGCUUUAUAAAUACAUUUCAUUGAUUGA